CAGAGAGAGGAUCAGCUGAGGCAAAGGUCAGAGUGUGCAGCUCAUCUCGACUGGAGCUUUCACUCGGCACAGCAGGGGAGGCUGUGGGCUUCCCUCCAGCACCGACAGAACGCUGGGUGCGAAGCCGCUCGGAUGAGGGAUGGUACAACAUCUCCAGCUGUACUGAUGUUCGAGAAUUCUCCCAGGAAUUCUUUUCGCGAUACAUGUCCAGGCACUGGUCUCCAGGGCUUUGUGGGGCCAUUUGUUCCCUGGUCUUCUGGAAGUCUGAGGGUUGUGCAAUUGGCCCAUGCUCCUGUUGGCUUGUUCUUCCAUCAGUGGCUUCACCCCGUGAGUCAUUCCCAAGACCAUGGAAGAGGAGGGGUGUCACUCUAGGCUCUGAGAUGGCCAUCCUCGCCUCUCUUUCUCUGUCUGGGACAGAGGUCGAUUCCUGUACCCAAGUCCCCCGAGGAUCCCUCGCUCCGUGGUCCUGCACCCCCAGGCUGCCUGCAGGGACCCCGCAGGGCUGGUGGAGGGAGAAGGGACGUUCUCCUCGCUGCCACGUCCUGUUUCUCUGAGCGCCCUGAGCAGCAAGUCUUCCCCCAGCGGGGCUCUCACUUGUCCCCCUACUUCCUGAACGACAGAAACCCCAGUUUUGUUGGCGUCGUGCCCAACCUGGAACAGUAUUUUCCAGCUUGCUUGCAGAUAAGAGUGGCCAUGUCUAAGUCUGACCAAGGAGAUGUAAGAGGAGGUUUCCAGACUGUCUCCUGGCAGGUAGCCUUUGCCCUCUGGCCUUUGUCCUCCCCUCCUUCCUGGAGAGAACAAGGACCACGGCAGUGGCUCGGCCACCUUGUGCUAUGCUAUCACCUGGACAACUACCCCUGGACAACCUCGAGUUAGGUAAGAGAAAAACAAAAUCCAUAACUUGAGCUGUUGCAUUCCAGUCUCUGUUACUAGGAUCUGCAUGGAGCCCCUAAGACACGAGCCAUGGUCCCCCCAGCCUCCCCCCUCAGUCUUCGAGGACCGGCACUCCCCCAUCCAUCCUGUUCUGGAGUGGCUGAACGACUACUUGCUUCGACCACCUGGGCAGCCUGUGAUGUUCUGGGACCUCCGUGCCCAUUCGAGUGAAGUUGUAGGACCCCCUGGGGCCUCUUCUGCACCUUGUGAGUGAGCUGUGGAGCUGCCCGGGGACGGUGCUCAGGCCCCCAGGGUCUCCUGUCUGCACCCCGGCAGCUCAGGCAGGGCAGCGGGACUCAGCUGCAAGUCUGCAGGUAGGCGAGCUGUCUGCUCCCCUCCUGGUAGGCCCUCCUGUCCCUACCAGUGACUUCUUGGAGCAUCCCGUUUCAGGGCACAGGGCUUAGAACCGAGGUUCAAGAGUGUGUGCUGCCUGGACACUUGGUAGAGUCGGGAGAGCCUGCAACAGUGCACCUGCAAGUCCCCCUCGGCACUCUGCUCCACCCGAAGGUCCCCCCAAACAGCCUCUUGUCAGAUGGUCCGGAGGCAGCUCCUGCUCAUCCCUGAGCUGCGGGUUUAGUUUCCUGCCCACCCGCAGAACCGUUCACACGGCCAGUCACACUCUCCCACUGGAACCAGGGCACCCCACCCUCCUUACCGCAACGGCCACUGCCCACAGCCCUGCUGGCUCACGCUGUUCCCGAGGGCACCCCCGUGUGGUCCUGUGCCGUGUGCCGUGUCCUCCUCCCCCAGGCCGAGAGCACACAAAUCUCAAGCACAUCCAACCUCCUGUUGGGAGAGAAAAAAAGAAUGAGGGAAAGUAAGGAGGGGAGAAGUCUGUCGAAGUUUGCCCUCCGCCUCCCAUCCAUCGGCCGCGUCAGACAGCUGACAACCUGGCUGCUCCCAAGCUUCAGAGCCAUCUCUCUGCUGUGAAAGGCUGGUCGCAGACCUGGUCUGGAGUUUUCACCCUUCAAGCCAUUAUCUGCUGUGUCAGCAGAGCCGUCGGUUGCAUUCAUAUUCACCACUUUGUUCCCAAGUCUAAUCUGGAAGAUACAAAACACAGAAGUGCCAGGAAUCCGCAAUUAGGCUCGCUGUGCAGCCAUCCUCCCGUGACACAGCUGUUGAUGGAAGCGAAGACCAUCCACGCGGAAACACCAUUGUCCAUUGUCAGUGCCCGUCAGUGCCUCUUUGCGUACUUGUCCCUCUGUGACCACACAGCUGGCCUCUUCCCACCCCUCUAAUGCCCACAGUGAAUCCAGAUCCAAACAAGCAACUUCCUCAGAACAACAGUGAGCCAACCCAACAUGAUGAGCAGGUAACCGGUACCCACGGAGCAUCUCGUCAGGAGGAGGAAAGAGGGCUCGUCUUGUGCACCACACAGCAAAGGCCGUGCUCUCCCCCACCCUCCCUGCCCUCUCUCGGCUCCUCACCGCACUCCUCUUCACCCUCGCAGAUUCUAGGAUCGCCUCUACCGUCCAGAGCUGUUUAGUCCCACGAUGACACAGCUGUCCCCUAUCUCAAUCUGACGCACACAGUUUCCGUCUGUCCUCAUUUCUUCUCUUCCUUCGGAAAACAUCCAAGAUAAGGUCCCCUGUGACUUGUCUGGCAAUUUUGUCCUCGGCCAACCCAGCUUCAGCCCACGGGCUGCAGAGUCUUUUCUCCCCGGCAAACGAGAGCUCCUAAGAUCUCACCGCAGCACCUGGGAGGUGCUGCGUCACUACACGUUGGGACAAAGCAGAUGCCGAAAUAAAGGGAGUCCCGGGCUCCGUGCAGCAGGGUCAUCCACAGACCUGCCGCCUCCAGCUGCUAGCCCACAGGACAGGUCACAAGGAGGACGGGCCGCGCCGUCAUCGCCGGUCCCGAGCCACGAGAGGGGAGACGGGCAGGAGACGCUUCAUCGCCCCCGAGCCCUGCCCAGGGUGGGCCACGGAUGGAGGCCUCCCUCCAGGAGCUGAAGUUCCUUUAAAAACGACAAGCAUUGCUGCCCCUCUCUGAGCCCCGGAGCCUGCCAAGCGCAGAGGGUUAUCUCAGACGUGGGCUGGGGCACCGAGAGCGCUGUUCCACCCGGAAUCGGUUCUCAACACCCUCAAGCCACCAAGACACAAGCAGACGGCAUGUACUCUCACCAGGAGGACGCCGUCCCCACGAGCUGCUCCUGACAAACGUCUGAGCCUGGAGGACUAAGCUGCUAAUUCUCAGGAAACAUCGGACAGAGGGACGGGAUAAGUGAGGUCUGGAGGCAAAGUCUAGAAGAAGCGGGACUCAGACAGAGAAAACCUCGAGAGGACGGGCGAACUGUGACUAGACUGACAACACGCAGAGAGCGAGCGAGAGUGACCUUCCGAUGCGCCGGAGAAGAACCCCGUCUAGAUUUUGACUCAACAAACUGGGAAAGUGCCACUCACGAGACAACUGGGGAAAUCUGAACACUGACUACAUAUAGGUGGUUUUAAGGAAUUUUAAUGAAGUGUUUUAGGUGGG
rnacentral:lncRNA from 1 species